rnacentral:rRNA from 1 species
GUUGCCGUUAAACGCGCUGAGUCGAACUUGGACUCUUGUCGGCCGGUCCGCCUCUGGCGAGUACUGGUUCGGCGAGAGUUUACAUUUCUGGUGAAAACAUAUGUCCUUCACUGGGCGUGUGUUGGAACCAGGACGAUUACUUUGAGAAAAUUAGAGUGUUCAAAGCAGGCGAAUGCCAGAAUAUACUAGCAUGGAAUAAUGGAACAGGACGUGCGCUCUUGAUUCGUUGGUUUGCGGGAGCGCCGUAAUGAUGAAUAGCGGCAGUUGGGGGCAUUCGUAUUCAGCUGCUAGAGGUGAAAUUCUUGGAUUUGCUGAGGACGAACUACUGCGAAAGCAUUUGCCAAAGAUGCGCGCAUUGAUCAAGCACGAAGGAUGGGGGAUCCAAAACGAUUAGAUACCGUUGUAGUCCCAUCAGUAAACGAUGCCGACUAGGGAUUGGACAAGGAUUUAUAAUGACUUGUCCAGCACCUGAAGAGAAAUCUUUGAGUAAGGUUCGGGGGGGAGUAUGGUCGCAAGGCUGAAACUUAAAGGAAUUGACGGAAGGGCACCACCAGGUGUGGAGCCUGCGGCUUAAUUUGACUCAACACGGGGAAACUCACCAGGUCCAGACACAAUAAGGAUUGACAGAUUGAUAGCUCUUUCUUGAUCUUGUGGUUGGUGGUGCAUGGCCGUUCUUAGUUGGUGGAGUGAUUUGUCUGGUUAAUUCCGAUAACGAACGAGACCUUAACCUGCUAAAUAGCCCGGAUGGCGUUUUAGCGCCCGUAGCUUCUUAGAGGGACUAUCGGCGUUUAGUCGAUGGAGUUUGAGCAAUAACAGUCUGUGAUGCCCUUAGAUGUCUGGGCGCACGCCGCUACACUGAC